ensembl:lncRNA novel transcript
CCCUCUUGAAGGAGAAGCCUUGAGUUGUGCAUCUUCUCUUGAUUUUACUGAGGUAUGGUAGCUAUAGCAAACUGCCUACUGCCUUUUUUUUUAACUUUUGCUCUCAGUGGCUCCAAGGCAUCGAAACUAUGCUAGUUCCAUGAGUGCUCCAAGUGAGGCAAGACAGAGACUAGUCCCUUGGGCAGCCCUCUGAAGAGCCAGAAUGCCAACACAUGCUCCACUCUUCUCCCUCCUUGCCAAGGAAGAAGUCUUAACUUGUGCACUUCCUCCCCCAAUUGUGCCAUGCUGUGCCAACCAUAUCAAGCCACCUGCUGCUUUCCAUUGUCCUCAGUGACCCCCAGACAUUCAAAUUAUGCUAGUUCUGUGGGCACACCAAUCAAGGAAGUAAGAGACCUGUUUCUUGGGCAGCUCUCUGAAAAGCUGGAAUGUUGGAGGCAUGCUCUAUUCUUUUCUCCCAGAGGAAAAAGAUGUGAAGAGGCAUUCUGUCUUGGCACUGAGCUGUGCUAACUUGGGGGAGAGGCUGAUGCAGAUCGUGUAGACUUCAAUUGGCAGAGUUACUCAGUAUUAUUUACUUGGAAAAUCCUCUGUAACCUAAAAGUCCUAGCUCUCCUGACACUAAGGAUGACAAUGGAACACUUAAAUGGUAGCUGCCUAUGAAGGGCUGUCCCUCUACCCCCUUGUUCCCUCUGAAUCUGAAGCUAUUAGCCACUUACAAUCUUAAUAAACUAAAA